rnacentral:lncRNA from 1 species
AUGCCUGCCCCCGGGUCCCCACCGUCCCCACCACGGCGGCUGCACCAGGUCAGGUCGGCGUCUGGCAGCUGCCAGGCUCCCCGGGGCCUGGCGGCAUCGCCACAUCCCGUGUGGGGCCCGGGGCGCUCACCCGCCUCGCCUACCCGCCUGCCCGACCCGCCGGGUGCCCAGAUGCAGGCUCGGCGUCCUCAGGGCUCCGCCGACGGCUGCCGGAGGGGCCGGGGUCCAGGACACGAGCUGAGCUCCGAGCGGCCGGCGGGCGCCCCGGGGGACUCCGGGAGGCGCGGAGGAAGGACCGCGGGCUGGCCCCGGCCCCAGCUGCCCUGCCGACCGCCGGGCUUCCCACCCCAGCAGGCCCGCCCUGCUCCCGGCGGGGUCGCAGCCGGCCCGGCCGCUCCUUCCCGGCCUGCCCGAGCCCCGCCGAGCCCCGCCGAGCCCCCCGCCCCGGGCCGGCAGGGCCCUGUUCCCCCGACCCCGGCGCGGGCGGGGCGCGCCCUCCGAGAGGCGGAAGUCGGGGAGCCCCGCAGCCCCGGCCGCGCGACCUCCCCCGGCCCGGCCCCGGCCCCGGCCCCGGCCCCCGCGGCCGCGCCCCACCCACACGCCGGGCAGCCCCGCGGGGAGGGGAGGCCGGGCCGCGGCGCCGGGCAGCGAGGGCGGGAGUCGCCGCGGAGCCGGGCCGGGGCGCGCACCGGGCGGGGGCGGGGGGCGGGGGGCGGGGGUCGGGGGUCGGGGCGGGCGGGGUCAGGGGUCACCCAGGCGGCGUCGGGGUCAGCACGGAGGGUCCCCUUCCUGGGCGGCGGCGGGGGGCCCCCGAAGACGGACGGAAGUACAGGGGGCGCCGCGGGGCGGGGUCAGGGGUCACGCGGGGUCGGGGGUCGGGGGUCGCCAGGAGGGCGGGGAUACGCCGCCACCUCCCUCCGCUCGCGGCCCCGGAACCCCGGCACCCCCGGCCCGGGCGCGCGCUUCCGCGGCGGGCGGGGCCCCAACGGGGCCGGGGAGCGCGGCUCAGGGCCGGGGCGGCGGCGGCGGAGCCGCGGCGAGCGUCGGGCCGGACGCGCCUCACCUCCGACCUGGGUCCGGCCGGGCGCGGAGCCCGCGGCGCCUCCGUCUCCGAGCUUCGCUUCAGCCGCGCUCACUUCCGGGUUUCGGGCGCCAUCUUGGGGGCCCCGCUCACUUCCGGUCAUGCCGCGGGGCGGGGCCUCCAGGGGGCGGGGCCUCCAGGGGGCGGGGCCCUGCCGCCUUCCUGCGGGGCUGGGACUCGGUGAGUCACGGGUUCGCAUCCCGCCCCCGCCCGUUUCUGUUGGGACCCCGGCAGGUGGCUUACCUGCGAGCCUGUUUCUUCCUCUGGCAAACGUGAAGAUGGAGUUGAAUCCGCCCCACCCCUGCGCUCUCGCACCUGACCUUUCGGCCACCGGGGUCCUCCCGUAA